UAAAGUGCCUUAUAUACAAAUAUGUACAUCACUGUCUUCUUUUUUAUCUACUUCUACUUGCCCUCAUCUCAUCAACAUCCCUCUGAUGUUUACCCUGAGCAUAAAGUCAACUCGCCUGCAGAGGGGUUUCCUCUCCGCAAACAGACCCUUCUCUGUGUCUGAAACCGGAGAGGUGAGCAUUCCUCUGCCCAGGCCCUCAAAUAAAGACCCAGAUUCUUGCAGAAAUAAUCCAGAUUCCCACUGGGAGUGCAAACCUAUCCGCUGUACCUCCCUCAAGGUGGACAAUCAGUGUCUUUGUGAAGCCAAGCUGAUGCCAACAGCCUGAGCCCAGAGCCACUCCACCCGGCAGCCCCUCAGUCCUGCUGCCUAAGCUGUGCAGAUGGUCUUCCUUGCUGUGGAAACACUGGAUUACUUCGGACAAAUAUCAUCAUCAUAAAUGCUGGAUUAUCAGAGCCGAAUAUUUCUUCUUUUCUUGGUGGAUUAUGGAUCUUCAAAUUCAUUUUCAAAUGGAAUUAUCAGAUAAAACACCACCAGCUCUUUGGGAUUGCAUGACAUCAAGGCGUCUCCACCGACUGAGAGGCUGAUUGGCUCCCUGUAGUGAUGGAAGCAGCAUUACACCUGAAGGAGGUGCAGUUUACUCCUGUCCAAGACUGACCAUGUGACCAACCAGGACUGGACUGGUAGUGGUCAGGAUACGGGAAGUGGGUAAGUACAGUCACUGACCAGGGGAUUACACCAUCAUCUCAAACUCAAAAUAUAUGACUGCAAUCAUUUCUACAUUUUGAAUAAUAGAAUACAUUUAUUAUAAUAAUAAUUACUGAAAACUCAUAAUUACACUUGAGUUUAUGUAAACUCCCAAACUUAGCUGAAGGUGAGCUGACCUUCCAAAAUAAAAUGACCAAAUUCUCUUCAGAUCCAACUUGUACAGCUGGCUUAAUCAAAUCCUAUCAUAGCAAAGACUAAUUUUAAGUCAAUAAUAAAAUCAACAUGAAGAUCUGUAAAAAAAAACACUGCAAAAGCAACCCCAAACAUAUCUACAGGAGAUUUUUUUCCACAGCUCACAUAAACCCACCUUUAACUUUUUAAGGAUGUAAUCAGUUUUGAUGACAUAAAAUUGGAUUUUUCUUUGUGAAAAAUGAAGUCUUAACAAGUCCACUGCUCAAAGAGAGAAAAGAAAAAUCUCUUCCCCACUGUGUCUAACUUCCCUUCAGCCAGGCAAAGUCUCCACUUCCUGUCCUGCUCCAAACAGCUCCAACCUCAGCCUGCGUGUUCCAACCUGAGCCCAGCAUGUUUUCACCCCCUGAUCAUUUCACUGCUCUCGCUCCAUCAUAAACACACAAGAAUCUGCUCUGGGUGCCAGACAGAGUGUGAACGCACCACCCACAUGGCCCCUCAGCUGAGCAGGAAUCGAACGACUGAUGAGUGAGUGACAGACGAAGUGUGAGAGUGUGA